CGCGGCGUGGAGCUCCCGGCCCCUCCCGUGAAUCCCGGUGGCCGCCCGCGCCGCACCCACUUCCUCUUUCCCUUCCGCGCGCCAGCCAACCGCUCGCCCAAAAAUUCCUGUCACUUCUAACAGGAAGCUGGGAGGCCGCGCGGGAGCGACCAGCCGCGCAUCUCCGUCCGCAGCGCCCCUGGACGCGGUGGGCCGCAGGGUCCCGCCUGGCCCUGGGCCUGGGCCUCAGUUCCGCCCCGCUGGGUCCUCCAUCCCGAUCGGCCUGGUCCUCAGUCCCCGCCUCGGCCCCGGUCAGCCCGGUCCUCCCUCCCCGCCGGGCCCGGGCCUCGGCCCCCUCCCAGCCGACCGGUCCUCCGGCGCCGUGGCGGCCGGGUCCCCAGCCGUGAGUCCGCCAUGGAGGUGGAGGAGGCGUUCCAGGCGGUGGGCGAGAUGGGCCUCUACCAGAUGUACUUAUGCUUCCUGCUGGCCGUGCUGCUGCAGCUUUAUGUGGCCACAGAAGCCAUCCUCAUUGCUCUAAUUGGAGCUACACCGUCGUAUCACUGGGAUAUGGCCGAGCUCCUGCCCAACCAGAGCCACAGCAAUCAGUCAGAGGGCAAAGACCAGGCCUUUGGGGCCUGGCUUCUGACGGCCAAUGGCAGCGAGAUCCAUAAGCACGUGCAUUUCAGCAGCAGCUUCACCUCUAUUGCCUCUGAGUGGUUUUUAAUUGCCAACCGAUCUUACAAAGUCAGUGCGGCCAGCUCCUUCUUCUUCAGUGGCGUGUUUGUUGGCGUUAUCUCCUUUGGUCAGCUUUCGGAUCGCUUCGGGAGGAAAAAAGUCUAUCUCACAGGUUUUGCUCUUGACAUCUUAUUUGCUAUCGCAAAUGGGUUUUCCCCCUCAUAUGAAUUCUUUGCAGUAACUCGCUUCUUGGUGGGCGUGAUGAAUGGAGGAAUGUCCCUGGUGGCCUUUGUCCUGCUAAACGAAUGCGUGGGCACCGCCUACUGGGCACUUGCAGGAUCCAUCGGCGGUCUGUUCUUUGCUGUUGGCAUUGCACAAUAUGCCCUGUUAGGAUACUUCAUCCGCUCCUGGAGGACCCUAGCUGUUCUGGUCAACCUUCAAGGAACAGUAGUCUUUCUCUUAUCUUUAUCCAUUCCUGAAUCACCUCGUUGGUUAUACUCCCAGGGUCGACUGAGUGAGGCAGAAGAGGCUCUGUACCUCAUCGCCAAGAGGAACCGCAAGCUCAAGUGCGCAUUCUCACUCACACACCCGGCCAGCAGGAGCUGCAGGGAAACUGGGAGCUUCCUGGAUCUGUUCCGUUACCGCGUCCUCCUAGGACACACUCUGAUCCUGAUGUUCAUCUGGUUUGUGUGCAGCUUGGUGUACUACGGCCUCACCCUGAGUGCAGGUGACCUAGGGGGCAGUAUUUAUGCCAACCUGGCCUUAUCUGGCCUCAUAGAGAUUCCAUCCUACCCUCUCUGCAUCUACCUGAUUAACCAAAGAUGGUUUGGUCGGAAGCGAACACUAGCAGCAUUUCUGUGUCUUGGAGGACUGGCCUGUCUUAUUGUGAUGUUUCUUCCAGAAAAAAAAGACACAGGUGUGUUUGCAGUGGUCAACAGCCAUUCCUUGUCCUUGCUGGGGAAGCUGACAAUCAGUGCUGCCUUCAACAUUGUUUACAUCUACACCUCUGAGCUGUACCCCACUGUCAUCAGGAAUGUUGGCCUUGGAGCAUGUUCCAUGUUCUCUCGAGUUGGCGGGAUCAUUGCCCCGUUCAUACCCUCACUGGUUGAAGGAUGUGCAGUGGUCUCUGCCCUUCAUCGUGUUUGGAGCUACCGGCCUUGCCUCAGGCCUCCUGAGCCUGCUGUUGCCAGAGACUCUGAACCGCCCUUUACUAGAGACGUUUUCUGACCUUCAGAUGUACUCCUAUAGGAGGUUAGGGGAAGAAGCCUUGUCUCUUCAGACCUUGGAUCCUCCACAGGCCCUGGACAAGGCCAGCACCUUGGGGAGCGAAAGCGAGGAGGAGGAGGAGUUCUAUGAUGCAGAUGAGGAGACACAGAUGAUCAAGUGAAGAGCCUCACAUCCCUGCCCAGAAGCAAAGUAUCAUUAUCAUGAAUGCCCCGGGUUCACUUAAACACCAGUGAUGACUCAGCCCGCUGAUGCUUUCUAGACACAGAAGAGGAUGCGGGAAAAGUUCCAAAAGGGAGAACCUUGGCACAUUGAGAGAAUCAUUCCUAAUUGGUUCAGAACUGAGGCUGAGCUCAGCACCAUGCCUCUGGCCACACAGCUCAGAUCCACUGUCUAGGUGACUGACUUGUGCCUCAUGCUGCUUCCCUUUCUCGGGACCUAAAAGCAGAUUGUGAAACUGCUCACAGUUUUACUAGGAUUAGCCACACCUUUCCCCAAGAUUUCAUCUUCCUAGUAAAUUUGAUGUCUGCCCCUGUCACUUGCUGCUCCCCACUAGGAAUCUUCUGGUGCAGGGUGAUGUGCUCAGAGUGCCCAGCUUUCACUCAGCUGGUUCCUACCCAUUGACUGGCAAUGCAGCUUGUGCCUUUAAUCUGAGAUCAUUUACUAGUAAAAGCCAGCAUCAACAGAGGAGUUUGCUGUCAUCAGAGGACUGGCUGUGGCUCGGUAGUUCCCUUUGACACUUGUUUUGUGCAAUGUUCCCAGUUCUUACUUGGAAACACUUGGGAAAUUUUUCUUUGUGAGAUUCAAGUGUCAGCAAUAACUUCAAAAUCAUGCACAGUUGAUAAAGAAACUCUAUAAGCUGGGGAAAGUCAACAAAUGAUGUGCUGAGCAUUUUUUAAAUGUGACUUAAAUGAAAGUGAGGAUUUUCUUUCACAGUGUUUGCUGUCUUCGGUGUGCAAUGAGGGAUUUGGACAGUAUAUCAGGGCUUGAACUCUGCCCUACAUGAGCCCCUACUUAUUUAUUCAAAAGGCCCAGCGAUUUUUAAAGAAAAUGUUGAAUUUUAAUUAAAUGCUUCCAUUGAUUUCCAAAUAAAUCAAAAUCAUAUUAAAUAUCUGUUUCUCACAAAACUUGAACACUCUCAAAGAGGCAUAUAAACCAAGAGUCCACGUGUGGCAAUUGAUCACUUUCCCAACCAGGGAAAUUGCUUGCGUCUAGAAUGUCUGUUUAUGCUAAUCUCUUGGGAAGAGAAAACGCACAAAUAGGAAAGAAAGGCAUCCUGAGGAUGUUUCUGGACAUCACAGAGACCUGCAUCGUGUCACCUCCUCCGUGUUGUCUGUACCCACCUGUUCCUUUGUUAAAACAUUGUUUUCCUUUAUGUCCUUGAUGAGGGAGCCAUUUCUACCACUGUAGAGAAGGGUGGCUGUGAUGUGGUGAAGACCUUGUAGGUUUCUAGCUGUCAGGAAGGCUAUGGAACUCCCUGCAGCAUCGUAUCUACAAAUCUCAGCGAAGUGUGCCCGGUACCCCAGACUGUGGAGUCCUGCUCCUCUCUGGGAAAUGGAGAUGGCUCUCCUUAGGAAAGGAAGAAAAGAUCUUCGAGAAAUACUUGGUUCUUGUCAAAUAAAGUGUUUAAAAUAAAGAAGUAACUUAAUAUAUAUACAUAUAAAA